GAUGAACGCUGGCGGCGUGCCUAAUACAUGCAAGUCGAGCGAACGGACGAGAAGCUUGCUUCUCUGAUGAUAGCGGCGGACGGGUGAGUAACACGUGGAUACCCAACCUAUAAGACUGGGAUAACUUCGGGAAACCGUAGCUAAUACCGGAUAAUAUUUUGAACCGCAUGGUUCAAUAGUGAAAGACGGUCAUACUGACACUUAUAGAUAGAACCGCGCUGCAUUAGCUAGUAGGUAAGGUAACGGCUUACGAAGGCAACGUUGCAUGGCAGACAUGAGAGGGUGUUCGCCCACACUGGAACUGAGACACGGUCCAGACUCCUACGGGAGGCAGCAGUAGGGAAUCUUCCGCAAUGGGCGAAAGCCUGACGGAGCAACGCCGCGUGAGUGAUGAAGGUCUUCGGAUCUUAAAACUCUGUUAUUAGGGAAGAACAUAUGUGUAAGUAACUGUGCACAUCUUGACGGUACCUAAUCAGAAAGCCACGGCUAACUACGUG
rnacentral:rRNA from 1 species